GACGAACGCUGGCGGCGUGCUUAACACAUGCAAGUCGAACGAUGAAGCCGGAGCUUGCUCUGGUGAAUUAGUGGCGAACGGGUGAGUAACACGUGAGUAACCUGCCCUUGACUCUGGGAUAACUGCGGGAAACUGUAGCUAAUACCGGAUACGACCCUCGGAGGCAUCUCCUGGGGGUGGAAAGAAUUUCGGUCAAGGAUGGACUCGCGGCCUAUCAGCUAGUUGGUGAGGUAAAGGCUCACCAAGGCGACGACGGGUAGCCGGCCUGAGAGGGUGACCGGCCACACUGGGACUGAGACACGGCCCAGACUCCUACGGGAGGCAGCAGCUAAGAAUAUUGGACAAUGGGGGAAACCCUGAUCCAGCCACGCCGCGUGAAUGAAGAAGGCCUUCGGGUUGUAAAGUUCUUUUAGUCGUGACGAUGAUGACGGUAGCGACAGAAAAAGCACCGGCUAACUUCGUGCCAGCAGCCGCCGCGG
rnacentral:rRNA from 1 species